GGGCGGUGACGGGGUGACGCUCGGAGCGUGGGCCGUGACUCUCACGGAUCCGGUUCCGCCCUCCCUCUCGUUGCCGACCCUCCGGGGCUAGCGCCCGAGAUCCCUUUCCCAGAGUGCUCUGCGCCGUGAAGAAGCGGCUCCCGGGGACUAGGGGCAUUUUGUGUUGGCUGGAGCCGGAGUAACAAGAUGGCGGCGUCGGCGGAGUGACAGGGGUCCCUCCGGGCGGGAGCCGGCGGCAGUGGUGGCAGCGGUAUCGCCGCCCUAAACCACCGCGCCCCUUUUCCAGCCCGCGACGUCGCCGUGAAAGCGAGCCAGCGGCGGCCGCCCAGAAACAAGUGGCCCAGGCUGGUAACCGCGAGAACCCCCUCACAAACUGCGGCCUGGCGAAAAGAAGCCUGAGUGAGCGGCGGUGAUCAGGUUCCCCUCGGCCAAUUCUGGGCCCUGUAACGCCUUGAAAGAGCCAACGUUUUCCGUUUCUUGCCGCCCUCCUCCACAGCCUUGUUCCGCGGACGAGCCCCAGAGGCCUCCGUCCCCCACUUAGAGGUGUCGGGGCUUGGCCCCAGCCUCCAUCUUCAUCUCUCAGGAUGGCGAGCAGCAGCGGCUCCAAGGCCGAAUUCAUUGUCGGAGGGAAAUAUAAACUGGUACGGAAGAUCGGGUCUGGCUCCUUCGGGGACAUUUACCUGGCGAUCAACAUUACCAACGGCGAGGAAGUGGCAGUGAAGCUAGAAUCUCAGAAGGCCAGGCAUCCCCAGUUGCUGUACGAGAGCAAACUCUAUAAGAUUCUUCAAGGUGGGGUGGGCAUCCCCCACAUACGGUGGUAUGGUCAGGAAAAAGACUAUAAUGUGCUAGUCAUGGAUCUUCUUGGACCCAGCCUCGAAGACCUCUUCAAUUUCUGUUCAAGAAGGUUCACAAUGAAAACUGUACUUAUGUUAGCUGACCAGAUGAUCAGUAGAAUUGAAUAUGUGCAUACAAAGAAUUUUAUACACAGAGACAUUAAGCCAGAUAACUUCCUAAUGGGUAUUGGGCGUCACUGUAAUAAGUGUUUAGAAUCUCCAGUGGGGAAGAGGAAAAGAAGCAUGACUGUUAGUACUUCUCAGGACCCAUCUUUCUCAGGAUUAAACCAGUUAUUCCUUAUUGAUUUUGGUUUGGCCAAAAAGUACAGAGACAACAGGACAAGGCAACACAUACCAUACAGAGAAGAUAAAAAUCUCACUGGCACUGCCCGAUACGCUAGCAUCAAUGCACAUCUUGGUAUUGAACAGAGUCGCCGAGAUGACAUGGAAUCAUUAGGAUAUGUUUUGAUGUAUUUUAAUAGAACCAGCCUGCCAUGGCAAGGACUAAAGGCUGCAACAAAAAAGCAAAAAUACGAAAAGAUUAGUGAAAAGAAGAUGUCCACUCCUGUUGAAGUUUUAUGUAAGGGGUUUCCUGCAGAAUUUGCCAUGUACUUAAACUAUUGUCGUGGGCUGCGCUUUGAGGAAGCCCCGGAUUACAUGUAUCUGAGGCAGCUAUUCCGCAUUCUUUUCAGGACCCUGAACCACCAAUAUGACUACACAUUUGAUUGGACAAUGUUAAAGCAGAAAGCAGCACAGCAGGCAGCCUCUUCAAGUGGGCAGGGUCAGCAGGCCCAAACCCCCACAGGCAAGCAAACUGACAAAACCAAGAGUAACAUGAAAGCUUAACUUUUUCUGACUUCACCAAUUGCUGCUAGGAACGUGGCUGGUCACUCAGCAGCGUAACCCAAAUCACAGGGGAAGACCUUGAAAUAUCUGGAAACUGACCUUCUCUGAAUACACUCAGUCUAAAGAAGUGCCAGGGAGCUAUGUCUGCGUGCUGAAAUUUUUGUCAGCUUUUUUCACUGUGGACAGUACAACUGGAGAGGAAAGAGCCCAGUAACCCAACAGGAAGUGAAGAGAAGUGUGCAAGAAUUGAUUUGUGGCGAUCUGAAGCCCGCAUCUUCAAGGCUUGGUGCACCUAUCAAAAACUUCAACUUGUCAGAUUGUCUGGAUGGAGACCACAACAGUUGGAAGACCUAGAAGAGUGCAGUGUUGCUAUGACUCAGUGGUGUAGAAUGCAGACCAUCUACCAGUUGGGGAAGGAGUCAGUUGUAACAGGAACAGAGGGAUCCAUUCCUUAUUGUAACUGUUGUUGCAGUGAAGAUGGGUUUUGGGACUUUUAGAAGCCAGAAGCCAGGAGAGACCACCUAAACCACAAGAUAAAAACCAAGGACUCACGCACACUGGGAAAAAGAAUACCAGCACUUGAAGAUUAAAUGUUGAAUACCCGCUGAAUGCUCCCAUUGAGAUUUUUCUUAAACUUCAGUAACAUCUUAGGACAGUUCACUGGAGAAACAUUGAUCCCUGGGUGGAGUAUCCUACUAUUGACCAAUCUGAAGAGUUAAAUCUGCGUUUGACUGCUUUCUUCUACCGGGAAUAUUUUUAGGCUAGCCUUUAUCUUAUCCCCUAAGCAAUUGUAAUCAUUAAUUGACCCAGGAAUCUCUAAAAUAUCAGAUUAAAAGAUGAACAGUACAAUUCUUAUCUAGAUAUAAUUUUUAUCCCUAUUAAAGAUGAGAGUUUUCUAAUAUUUUGACUGACAAUAUAAUUUAAGCCUUCUUUUUAGUGACAGUGGUUUCUAUUUUGAAGCUGUUUGGAUAUUCAACAUAGUAAUUAAAUUGCUCAAUGUAAUGUAAUUGCAUAGCUAUGAUAAAUCAUUUUCAUAGUUGCGUAAACAUUUUUCGUUAACCAUAUUUAAGAAUAAUUGCGGGACUUAAAUGCUCAUGUGGGUAAGGGUCAUUUCUCUUUAGCUAAUUCAUAGUUUUAAUCUGCUUUAUAGUAUUCUAACAUUGGCAUUAGGUUACAGAAUAUGGUCUUAUUUUAAAAUUUAAUUCAGGUUUGGUUUGACAGGGUUCUCUUUUUAUGCUUACCUUGGUACUUCUUUUUAGUGAUAAAUAGAUAAUACUCCUUGUGGCAAAGUACAUUUUUAGAAAGUUUCACUGUUUUUCAUUUUUGGCAUUUGCUUUAUGAAUUUAGUACUUGGGCAGGCAACAAAGGUCUGUUUUGUACCAACUCCCAUUAGUUAAUGUGGAGAGAGAAAGAAGUGUUUUGAUACUUGCUUGUCCUCAGGUCUUUAGCCCAAUAUAUUUUUAAGUGGAUGAAGAGGACUUUCUGCCCUCAAAUGGAAAAACUUAAGUUACCAGGUCAGACAGUAUUAACCAAGAAAUGGUAUAUAAUGUCUGAUGUUAUUUUGGAAGAGAGGGGCCUACAUUCAUGCAAAGUAAAUUAUAGAAGCAUAGUAUUUUUAUUUAUCCCACAAAGCCUGUUGGAGAUGGUCCAACAAAUGCUUGAAAAGCACAAAAAAGGGGGGAGGUUACUGAUUUACAAAAACAUGGUGUCAGUGCUGAAGAACUGAGAGAUCAAAGUGAGCUACAAGGAGCAGUAAUGAGGCAGCUGUAAGAGUUUGCGGGGGGAGGGUGCACCAAGGGGUACAGACACCUAGAAGGAUGGCUCUUACAAGAGAGGUGGUACUGAUGGGAUUUUGAAGUUGGUGAGAAGUGGGCAUAUUUCCUUUCUGCCUUUAGCCAUAGAUGGAACUUGUAGGUAAUAGAGAUCAGCAUUUCCUCUAGUAGUCUUUAGCCACAGAUGGAAUAUGGAGCUAUUACCUGAAGCUGUUUUUCUAUUCAAACCUCCUUGGAGGUGGAAGUCUCAGAGUCUAAUUGUGUGGGAGGAGGGUAUCUGUUUAUAGGGUGGGAAGGCUUUAGUAAAUAAAGACACACCAUCCCCCCACCCCCGCCCCAAGGCCUUAUUUGUUUAUAUUUUCAAACCGGGGC